UCCCUCUCCCCCAGGGCGGGAGGUCCCCGGAGCAGAGCGGCGAUCUCGGGGUAGGGGGCUGGCACCCCGGCGCCGCCCUCGGCCGGGAGCGCC
rnacentral:miRNA from 1 species